rnacentral:lncRNA from 1 species
CAUCACUUCACUCCCUCACACUUCAAUUCUCGGCCUCCCCUCUCUCUCUCUAUACUCUCUUUUCCUCUAUUAAUGUCCAUUGAAGAAAGCUUAGAGAAGCUUCAUCAAACACUACUAUGAGAUAAUCCACCAUCCAAUCCAAUCAAAUACUAUCAUAUCUCAUCAAAUUCAAGAAGCUAGAGCUAAGAUCAAAGUUGGAGCAAAGUCUUGAUCACCUUUUAAAUCCUUGAGUAAGUGAUCUUAGAUUAUUUAUUUGAUCAUAUUAAUGAUAUGUAAGUGAGUAUAUGAUCAUGAUUGAGCAAGAAAAUCACCCUAAUUUAUUUUUAUGUAAACUUUCGAAAAUUAGGAGCUUGAAACCCUACGAAUUUUGUUGUUUAUUUUCUUGACUUGGCUUGAGUUAUAUGAUGAUGGAUUUGAGUUUAUGAGAUGAUCUAGAUGAUUAAUGAUGGAUGAGAUUGAAGCUUGAGGUUGAGAAGUGAAAAAUGAAAAAUGUUAGUUUGAGGAAGAAGAUGAUAUAUAUGUGUUUCUAUAUGUGAUUUUGUUAUAUGAUGUUGAUUUGAAGAUUUGAGUGAGUAUAUGAGUUCUUGAGCAUGCUAUGAUGUUAAGUGAUGGUUUAGAUUGAUGAUUAGAAGUGAUGAAAUGAGUUUUGGGAUGAGUUGUUGUUGAGAAUUAUGAUGUUAUAUUCAAGUUAGAGAUAUUAUUAAGAUAUAUAAGUUUUAAAUACAAAUUGGAGAAUUUCGUAGGCCUACUGACCUACUGUGAUCGAUGGUUUGUCGAUGUCUAAUAGCUUUGAAAAUUUUAUAGCAAGUUUCUACAUGAGUCUUGAGUACCCUGGUAAAAUUUCAAGCUAUUUCAACUUCGUUUGAUAUUUCUUUAAAAUGCAAAACCUAAACUGCACAUUAUUACCGAGAAUUUCAGAGAACAGGGGAACGAGUCAUUCAUUUAAGUAGCUUCCUAUGUGAUCUAGCUUUCCAACUUUUUAUGGUAUCAACCUUAUUGUGUUAUCUAGAUAUCCACCAAAGUUGAGCCCAGUUUGACAACGUUUACUAUUUUUCAAAAAUUGUAACCUUCGGUUGCACAAAACUGCCAGAAAUGGUAGAUCGUGGUAAAAACGUCAUAUCUCUCAAACCACUUGGAGCUUUCGACUCUAUUUUUUUUUAAAUGAAACUAGACUCGAAGAUAUUUCUUUCAGUAUGAGUCUCGAGUCCAGGAGAUGUCGGAGUCAGAACAGUUUAAAUUUUGAAGUUGAGUCAGUGUAAAAACAGAGCAUAUUUUAAUGAUGUUUGAUUGUGAUUCUUAUGUGCCUUAUGUGAUUGUGUUGCCUAUGUGUUUGAAUUUUCACUAAAUUAUUUUAGUGAAUUUAAAUCUCUUGAUUUAAAUUUUAAUAUUUAAGGUUGGGACUAUUUAUUUUAAAUGAGGUCCGUUCUUUUAUUUAAUUUAUUGAUGGACUUUAAAAAUGAAAACAAAUUUUGGGAUUAAACCCUCAUUUUUAUAAUAUUUCAAGGCUUUUUGAGUAUGGAUUUUAAAUGGUUAAAAUGUUUUAUUUCAUCUCAAUGGAUUUUAAAAUGUUUUAUUAUUUAUAAAUGAAUAAUGGAAUUUCUUAUUUAUUUACAUGAAAAAAAAAAUGAAAUGUAUAGAAUGUUAUAAAAUGGUGCAUGAUUUCUUUUAUGUUCAUGUGAACUUGUGAUUUUAAUGAUACUAAACUUGAGGAUUUUAUUUCUUUCUGUUUAUUGUUUACGUGAUUACGUGAUAUUAUGUGGUUAGUCACGAGGUUAUGUUGGUUUUCGAUUGUCUUUAAUGGAACGAAUUAUGGAUGCUAGAACCCUAAAACACUAAAAGAAAAUCGAGUAAGGAUAUUGUUGGUGUCCUUAACUCAAGAAAUUUAGUUUUCAAGUAUUUAUUCAUUAAAUUUGAAAACCCGGCGUGAUGAAUCAAGUAUGUUUAGUACAUCCAUAAAUACAUUAAGAUUAGUUUCAUGAGACCUAUUAAGAAUAGAAUUUCUUGUAGGCUUUGUGACCAGGGGAAUUAGCGCUGCUUUCCCAAGACAGGUUUAUAUGUGAUUAUGAUCUUCAGGCUUUGCCUAACCAGGUGGGCUUACUUUCCAAAUGUACAAAGUAUGAUUGAGUUAUUAAGCUCUAAAUGUUUCAAUGAAAUGCAAAUUGUUUAUUUAAUGUAAUGAAAACUGUUUAUCCAAUAAAAUGUUUAUGUGCACUCUGCUCUGUUUAAGGCUCGCAAUUCAUGGAUCGAUCGAGGUUCUCUUAUGGCCUAACACGUUAUUUGAGAAUUGUGUACACUUGUUAGUUGUUUCGGUGGGUUGAUCUCCAUCGGGCACUAAUUCAUGUAAGAGGCGUUAUAAGGGUGCUUGGCUGGAUGUGUUCCGGAGCAUGUAUCAUGUAAGGCCUGCCUGGGUAGCGUCCCGAGGUCAAUUCAACUUGUCUGAGUUACGUCCUCAGGGCAAGUGCAAUGGGAGAAAUGGAUCCGUCGGUGGCUAAAAGGUCCGGGAUCACAGCGAGUAACAGAAAGGGAGUGUGACAUGUGCGCACAAAUGAAAGAAAUUAUUUUAACAUGCUUAGAAGUUAUUUCACUUUAAAACCUUCUAAGUCAUGUCAAGUAUAAUUGGAUAAACUGUUUUUAUUAAGAUAUAAAAUGUUUCAGAAAAUGCAUGCCCACUAAGUACAUUAGUACUUAGCCCAAAAAUACUUUCAAAUGUUUUCAGGUUGGCUGGCCGGUGCUGACGGGACGGAGUUGAGGCUAGAGUUAAAUUCCUAUGUUAGACUUCCGCUGUAGCAAUUACUCAUUUCAGUCUUUUGUUUUCCCAACUUAAGAUCUUCAUGUUAAAUUUCAAAUGAUAUAUUUGACCGAGCUUAGACUCUUCA